CCUACGGGAGGCAGCAGUGAGGAAUAUUGGUCAAUGGGCGCGAGCCUGAACCAGCCAAGUAGCGUGAGGGAGGACGGCCCUACGGGUUGUAAACCUCUUUUGCAGGGGAGUAACGGGCGUCACGUGUGGCGCCACUGAGAGUACCUGGAGAAAAAGCAUCGGCAAACUCGGUGCCAGCAGCCGCGGUAUUACGGAGGAUGCGAGCGUUAUCCGGAUUAAUUGGGUUAAAAGGGUGCGCGGGCGGAAGAUCAAGUCAGCGGUAAAAUUUAGGGGCUCAACCUCUUCGAGCCGUUGAAACUGGUUUUCUUGAGUGAGUGAGAAGUGUGCGGAAUGCGUGGUGUAGCGGUGAAAUGCAUAGAUAUCACGCAGAACUCCGAUUGCGAAGGCAGCAUACCGGCGCUCAACUGACGCUCAUGCACGAAAGUGUGGGUAUCGAACAGGAUUAGAUACCCUAGUAGUC
rnacentral:rRNA from 1 species